UCAGUCUUUAUUUAAAUUGUCGCGUUUUGUCAUGGUAUUAAAAAAAAAAAUGCGAGAAAUAAAUACUAUACCUACAUGAAGGGGCCCUUACGCAAUGGCUCAUUUUACAUUUAAUUUGAUACGGCACUGUGUUAAUAUUAUUUCGUCAUUAGAUAAUUGCGCGCAUGCGUAGGAAUUAAUUUAUAAUAUAAAAAAUGUAUUUACGUUUUUGAUAGAUCUCACAUAGAAAUGUAUUAGUCCAAUAUAUUAUUUUAAAUUAUUAGAAAUAGUUUUUGAUAUAAUAGAGCGAAGGAUGUGCGACGAUAACGUGUGCGAUGAUUGUUUAGAAACUGAUUUUAUCACGGAUUUGCAACAUAAAAAGUGUAAAGUGAUACAACUGGUACGAAGACAAAUGCAUAAGUUCGAGGAUACGCAAAUUAUGUGUAGAAAAUAUACUUACCCACACUCGAGCUUCUAAUAAUGCAGUGAUCAACUGUAGGACUACAAUUUUCACCCACUUCCAAACAAUAAUGUUUAUGAUGUGGAACUGUACUAGUAACAUCUGGAGUAAACUUUAAAGUAAGGUGCCCAGCAUAUGCACGCUUAGCACCUUCUACAAACAUUACAGUAGAUUCACUUUCUCGUUCCAGUAUGACCGAUUCUGCCACAUUACCAGGAGCUGCUCCAAUUAGUGCAACAUCACUAUCGAUUACAAGAAAUUCACCUCUAUAUGUUCCAGCAUGUAAGAAUACUAAAUGUUGAGGUGCUUCUUCUAUUGUUUGAGAAUUACUCCCGCAGCAAUUUCCUUGAGCACUUGUAUUUGCAUUACUUGAAGAAUUACUGUUGCUGCUUCUGUAUUCGUCUACAUAAUCCAAUGCCCCUUGAACCGUGUUGAAAUACGGCAAAUUUCGUCCUUUGAAUUUUAAAUCCUGGAAGCCAGGUCUGACGUGUACCCCCCUAUAUAAUUGUCUAAAGCUUUCUUUCCAUGGAUUUGGAUAAUCAGACUCAUCCGGAGAAACAAAUUCAAAUUUACAAGGUGCUGGAUUAAACAAAGAAAGUGAACACGUUCGCCGUGGUCGUUUCCUUGCUGGAAGAGUAAAACUGCCAAGGGUAGCAGCAAUACUACUGCCACCCGAGGGGGGUAAUGCAGAACUUGUGCCAGGUGCUGGAUCCGGAUGAGGUGGACUUUUACGCC